ACAUGCAAGUCGUACGCACUGGCCCAACUGAUUGAUGGUGCUUGCACCUGAUUGACGAUGGAUCACCAGUGAGUGGCGGACGGGUGAGUAACACGUAGGUAACCUGCCCCGGAGCGGGGGAUAACAUUUGGAAACAGAUGCUAAUACCGCAUAACAACAAAAGCCACAUGGCUUUUGUUUGAAAGAUGGCUUUGGCUAUCACUCUGGGAUGGACCUGCGGUGCAUUAGCUAGUUGGUAAGGUAACGGCUUACCAAGGCGAUGAUGCAUAGCCGAGUUGAGAGACUGAUCGGCCACAAUGGAACUGAGACACGGUCCAUACUCCUACGGGAGGCAGCAGUAGGGAAUCUUCCACAAUGGGCGCAAGCCUGAUGGAGCAACACCGCGUGAGUGAAGAAGGGUUUCGGCUCGUAAAGCUCUGUUGUUGGAGAAGAACGUGCGUGAGAGUAACUGUUCACGCAGUGACGGUAUCCAACCAGAAAGUCACGGCUAACUACGUGCCAGCAGCCGCGGUAAUACGUAGGUGGCAAGCGUUAUCCGGAUUUAUUGGGCGUAAAGCGAGCGCAGGCGGUUGCUUAGGUCUGAUGUGAAAGCCUUCGGCUUAACCGAAGAAGUGCAUCGGAAACCGGGCGACUUGAGUGCAGAAGAGGACAGUGGAACUCCAUGUGUAGCGGUGGAAUGCGUAGAUAUAUGGAAGAACACCAGUGGCGAAGGCGGCUGUCUGGUCUGCAACUGACGCUGAGGCUCGAAAGCAUGGGUAGCGAACAGGAUUAGAUACCCUGGUAGUCCAUGCCGUAAACGAUGAGUGCUAGGUGUUGGAGGGUUUCCGCCCUUCAGUGCCGGAGCUAACGCAUUAAGCACUCCGCCUGGGGAGUACGACCGCAAGGUUGAAACUCAAAGGAAUUGACGGGGGCCCGCACAAGCGGUGGAGCAUGUGGUUUAAUUCGAAGCUACGCGAAGAACCUUACCAGGUCUUGACAUCUUGCGCUAACCUUAGAGAUAAGGCGUUCCCUUCGGGGACGCAAUGACAGGUGGUGCAUGGUCGUCGUCAGCUCGUGUCGUGAGAUGUUGGGUUAAGUCCCGCAACGAGCGCAACCCUUGUUACUAGUUGCCAGCAUUAAGUUGGGCACUCUAGUGAGACUGCCGGUGACAAACCGGAGGAAGGUGGGGACGACGUCAGAUCAUCAUGCCCCUUAUGACCUGGGCUACACACGUGCUACAAUGGACGGUACAACGAGUCGCAAACUCGCGAGAGUAAGCUAAUCUCUUAAAGCCGUUCUCAGUUCGGACUGUAGGCUGCAACUCGCCUACACGAAGUCGGAAUCGCUAGUAAUCGCGGAUCAGCAUGCCGCGGUGAAUACGUUCCCGGGCCUUGUACACACCGCCCGUCACACCAUGGGAGUUUGUAACGCCCAAAGUCGGUGGCCUAACCUUUAUGGAGGGAGCCGCCUA
rnacentral:rRNA from 1 species